rnacentral:rRNA from 1 species
UACGGGGGGGGCAAGCGUUGUUCGGAAUUACUGGGCGUAAAGGGCGCGUAGGCGGUUCGCUAAGUUGAAUGUGAAAACUCUGGGCUUAACCCAGAGCCUGCAUUCAAUACUGGCGGGCUAGGGUUCUGGAGGGGAUGGCGGAAUUCCUGGUGUAGCGGUGGAAUGCGUAGAUAUCAGGAGGAACACCGGUGGCGAAGGCGGCUAUCUGGACAGAGUCUGACGCUGAUGCACGAAAGCUAGGGGAGCAAACAGG